rnacentral:lncRNA from 1 species
GUGUCUAACCACAAUAAAAGUCCCUACCCCAUGGUGCUCGAGGUCUCUCCUGAUCUGCUGCUGCCUCAGAUGGACAGAGAGGUUCAACUUUACUUGCAAUAAAGACUCUCUGCUUUUGCAUUGGAUCAGGUCGCUUGGUGGUGUUUUGGGGAUCCAGACUUUGGGUACAACAGCUACACUUGCCUCCUCAAGCAUAUAUAAGUGAGCAGUAAGCAGACUGCUGAGAGACUCUAAGAUAAGCUGAACAGCCUGGAAGAAAUGAAGAUCAGCCAAGUUGCCUAGAAGAGAUUUGGAUCUACAGAGACACCUGAAAAGAAACCUCUCCAACCAGUUGAAGUGUUGGUAUGAAGUUUGCUAAAGUUUUCCUGUUUUUGUGACCUGUCACCCAAGAUGGGGUGGGUUUUGAUGAUUCAGCUGUUUCAGAAUCAUUCCUGCUCCUGCCUGUGGCCACAGCAUGCUGGCUGGCUUCAGAGCAACCUGUGUGUGAGUCCUGCCCUUCACCGUGCUGCCCAGCUUCUCAUCACUGUCAUCCUGUUCCUGGGAAUUCACUUGCUAAGUGAAAGUGAGACACAACUGCUCCUGGCACACCAAUUACAUCUGAGAGGAAGAUGGGCAUCCAAGUAACUCAUUAUAGAGUUUCCCUUUGACUUGGCAAGACUAGCCAUUUGGAUGACUGCUGUGCCUGCCUCAGUUGUGAAGGGAGACUUUUUCACAGUGGGUAGUGGUUACAUCAGAAACUACCAUUAUCAUAACGGGUUCAGCAACUACACUUCAGCUGAGAGAAAAGGACGGCCUAUGAGCAAAGAAACUUGUCCUAUUGGUAACCUGGCUGCCAUGGAGAGUUAUUUGUUUGCUCCAGGAUCUGUGUUCCCCACAGGGGGACUAUCAGCUGCCAUGUUGAGGCCAUGCUGUGCUGAUGGCUGAAGAUCUAUGUGCCUGGGACUGACAUCACUACGUCAGAGUGGGCUAAGACAAGAAGGAAGACUUGUUGAGUUGCAGUUGAGCACUGGUGUCAUAGACUUGGGAAGUCCACAUGAGAAAUAGGAAAUUGUGCCAUGAGAUCUGAGCCAAAAUGCAAGCUAAUGUGAUAAGAUGGAGGUGGCCAGGGUUUGGGGAGACAGAAGCAGGAAGCUGUGGUUGCUGGAGCUGAAGCUGCUUCUUGGGCUGCUGGGAAUGCUUGGGAUUUGAGACAUAUGGUAAUGCAGUAAUGCACAACACUUUUGAUGGGCCAAAGGCCGCAGUGUCUUACAGUGUAACUGUAUACCCUACAUCCAAAAAAAAAAAAAAAAAAAAAAAAAGGAGGAGGAGGUGGAAGAGAGGAAAAAAGUAGAAUCAUUUGGAAAUGUCUAAACUCAGAGGUAAGACCUCAAAGGUUAGAAAGAGCAAAGUGUCGGUGGGCUUUUCUUAACAACGGAGUGGCUGUGGCCAGAGCCAGAGCUUUGGCUCUAACUGAAUGAAUCCACUCCCACCGCCUCAGGGACAGGUGAAGACACAAAUGGAGGCACCAGGCUGCAAAGGCUAAUCUCUUUUAAUAUAAAAUGUAUACUUUCCUCAACAGAAACUCUGUCCUCAGCAUACGUCUUAGGCUUGUGGAUCUGGGGCAGGAACAGUACAGAUUCUGUAUUCAGGAGAGCGACUUACAAACUCAAACAGGGUUCACUGGAGGAACCAGUGCAAGCUUGAGAGGGACCUGAGCUUAAACUCUGUAGCUUGAAGUGGGUGGUCGAAUAAAUCAGGGAGAAUUUUUGUGUCCCCCCCCUCCCGCCCCAAGAGGCAUGGAAGCCCAUCGAGCCUGUUCCUCAUAUAAAUUGUGUCGUUUAUUUUAGCCUGAGAAGUACUAAUUAUUUUGUUGAGUCCUGGGCUUCCCUUGGAGUUCAGCUGCAAGUUUCCCCCAAUGGACAAGUUUCCCCCUCAAGGAUGAGCUGAAGGACUAAGGAAGGGAAGGCACAAGAGCCAGUUCUCACCCACGAGUAGAUGUCCUUAACACCUGUAUUAUGUACUUUUAAAUGAUUGUAGGACCGACAAGAUGGCUCAGCAGGAAAAGGCCUUUUUGUAGCAAAGCCUGGGAACCUGAGUUCAAUUUCCAGGACCUACAUGGCGGAAGGAGUUUUCCAGCAAGUUUUUCUCUGACCACAACAUAUACAUCAUCAUCAUCAUCAUCAUCAUCACACACACACACACACACACACACACACACACACACACACACACACCCCAAGUGAAUGUAAUAUACUUUAAAAAAUAAAUGGACAAC